ensembl:snRNA U6 U6 spliceosomal RNA
GUGCUUACUUCAGCAGCACAUAUCUAAAAUUAGAAUGAUACAAAGAAGAUUAGCAUGGGCUCUGCACAAGGAUGCCACGCAAGUUCAUGAAGCGUUCCAUAUAUCU